AGAAACUAACAAGGAUUCCCCUAGUAACGGCGAGUGAAGCGGGAAGAGCUCAAAUUUGAAAUCUGGCACUUUCAGUGUCCGAGUUGUAAUCUCGAGAAGUGUUUUCCGCGCCGGACCGCAUACAAGUCUGUUGGAAUACAGCGUCUCAUUGGUGAGAACCCCGUAACUGAUGCGGAUGCCCGGUGCUUUGUGAUACACUUUCGAAGAGUCGAGUUGUUUGGGAAUGCAGCUCAAAUUGGGUGGUAAAUUCCAUCUAAAGCUAAAUAUUGGCGAGAGACCGAUAGCGAACAAGUACCGUGAGGGAAAGAUGAAAAGCACUUUGGAAAGAGAAUUAACAGUCCGUGAAAUUGUUGGAAGGGAAACGAAUGAUUUCAGACUUGUUAUCUGGAGUUCAGCCUUUCGGUUCCUCUCCAGUUUACAGGCCCGCAUCAGUUUUCGGGGC
rnacentral:rRNA from 1 species